rnacentral:rRNA from 1 species
AUGAAUCCCCAAGCCAGCCCUUGGCCGGACGGUUUUAGACCCUCCUUUUAUAGAACUUACUGGCCUAUAGUCAAACACGUAGUCCCGCCUUUCUUCUCCCAAUUCCACCAAGGUGUGGCAGACACAGAACGUUUAAACCGUGCUCACAUCAUCCUCGUUCCUAAGAAAGACACGCCAACCUCACCCGAUGCCUUCAGGACAAUCUCUCUACAGAAUUGCCCAAUCAAAGAUGUUGUUAAAGUCCUCACAUCUCGUCUCAAACUGCUCAUUCCUAGGUUAGUCCAUGGCAAUCAGACUGGGUUCAUCUCAGGCAGGAACAUCGCCGAGAACUACGUCUUUCCAGCCGAUCUCAUUAGCUCUUGCCACUCUCGCAAAAGACCAACCAUGGUUUUUAAGCUCGACUUCCGUAAAGCUUUCGACUCCGUGGCUUGGCCUGCCCUUGACAGAAUACUGGCAGUUCGUGGCUUCUCUUAAACCUUUCGUACCUGGACCCAAAACAUGCUUCACACGGGCAAAGCUGCCAUUCUCCUGAAUGGGGUCCCAGGCAACUGGAUACAAUGCAAGAAUGGUUUGCGACAAGGUGACCCGGCCUCCCCCUACCUUUUCCUCAUCGUCGCCGAUCUGCUUCAACAACUCAUCUUCUAG